AUCAGAAAAGAAGAAUUUUCUUUCUUUCUCUCUGUUCUUAUAGUUCAACACCUUUUUAAAAUAAUGUAAAAUAGAGACCGAACAUCUGUACAAGCAUUCAGGUUUAAGUUAACUGGAAAAGAAGAGGACGAAUUCAACAUGUCGUCAUGGUUACGUCGGAAAGUACGCACGCAACUAUUCUUGAGCUUGACUCUGGCAACAGCUACACCAUUGGUCGGUGUGACCAACUGCCGAUUGAACGGUAAAAUAGGAGGCAGCCAAUGCAAACUGGUUUGAUGUAGAGACAGGUCCGUACAUCAGUUUGGGUGAACUCAAACCUGCAACAUAUCAUCAAGUGAGGCCAGCAGUGUAGCUUCAUUCAGCCGUGAAGACAUUUGGCGGUGAGGAGGAGUAGACCAGCUGAAGGUGGUAUCCCUUGACACAGAGGGACCCCAGGGAGAUAUUCAGGGGACCAGAGCAGGCUCGAGGGCCUAAGCUGUGCCCAUUCAAAAACUGCUUGGACGGUGAUGGAUACCUUGCCCCAGGGAGAAUGGCCAGGAGAGCACUUAACCGCCGGUGGAGCAGCAAGGGGAAGGCUGAUAGUUAGCUGGAUAACUGCAUACUGUAUGAGAUGAGCUGCAGUGCUCCGUCACAAUGCCUGGACGACAUAAUGGAUGGAAAUAUGCCGGAAAGAACAGGAAGCCGUUAGCAAUCCCUCGCCGCCCAAAGUAAAUUCAAUCACACUCACAGAGAAAGACAAUAUGCUUGUGUAAAGCCCCACGAAUAUACGGCAGAUGAAUAAUGAAUUUUGUCUGUGUUUGGAUGAAGUGUUUUGAUUUGCUAACAUUCUCUUGUAUGUCUAUAAUAAAAAUCCUGUUCUAUCAAAGUGUAUGUGUUUACUGCAAUGUCGGUACGCUGUCACAAUCUGAAACAGCCACUAGGCCAAUGUUUCACGCUGGUAGGCAGCUUUUGAAUGCGUAUAAGAGUUUGGUUAUGGCAGUUUAAGGGUCCAUAAAGACUUCAAACAGGUACAAAGUAAAUACGUUCACUGUACACCACCAUCAUUGUGUUGUGUGUGUAUUGUUCAAACUAGAGGGCACUGCAGCAGCCCCCACUGAGAUGCGUGCUUCCACCAUUCCCCUUACCUUGAAGGCGCAACUCCGGUCUGCACACUUGCACAAACGCGCACACGCACUAUCGAAGAUGUUUUGAUGUCAGUUUCUUCUUCUAUUUUUCCUUUUUCCCUCAUCCCAAUAUAUAUCUUACUCUGAUAUUCUCCCUCUCCUCUCCCCUUGUCUUUCUUUUGUCUCCUCCUCUCUCUCUCAGCCUCUCCCUUUCUCUCUAUCUGUAUUUCUUUGGCUUUGGUGGUUACAGGGCUCAGUGAUGCCACUGUACUUCUCAGUGAGCCAUUUGAUCAUUAAUUUAUCACAGUUCCAGCAGUUUGUUUGACAGGUGCAAGUGCUUUCAUCUUACUAGUGCUAGGCAUUGCCGAAUGAACAAGGUAACCCAGACCUAUAUGUUGAGUAAGCAGGUGAGCUUGGAGUUGAACCAACUAGUGGGUCUGUCCGCAGAAUGAGCAAGUGUGCCAGCAUGGGCCUACUUGUUAACUGGACAAGUGAGAUAGCCUGUAAAUAGAGUCAAAUUGUGAGGGGGGCGUCCUUCAAGUGCUGGUUCCUCGCUCACUCUCUGUCAGACCCCUUAGAACCCCUAAAUGUCUCCAAUUCAAUACUGGGAUUAGGUGCAGACAGGACAUAGAGAUAUACUCCCACUAUUGUAGCAUCUGUACUUCCUGAAGAGGCCCUACUCAACACUCUAGUGACCCAUUACAGCAGUUCUAAGUAGGGCCGCUACAGGCCGAGUUGCUCACUGCUACACCCUGGUCCGAAUGAACUUCAUCACCAAGUACCUAAAGGCGUGGUUGGUGUUUGGUGUUUAAACCAGCGCAGAAUGUCUAGUGGAGGUGCUGUUGUGCCAUUUCAAGGUCCCUAAAGAUAUUCUCGUCUGCUGAUGACUAGUUUUUCAUAAAACCUCUACCUGUGGGUAGACUUAAAAUUAAUAGAUUGACAUUUUGGGAAAUAUUCUUAUUUGUUUAGCUUAGCGUUAAUGCUACAAGCAGGAGAAAACACUUUGCUGUGUUCAAACAUCACAUAACCCACCUAGCAGCACCUCUAAAAGCUCAUUAAUUAACAUGUUAUAUCUAUGAGGUUGCCAGAGCAUAGACACCAGGUCACUCUGUGCUUUAAGGUGUUAUUAUAUGAAGAAUAAAAUCUGCAUCUUUGCAGUAUUAGUUUAAGGCUGAGGCUAAUUUUAAAGUAUGAUUGUUGAAUGGCUGGUUGUUGUUAAAGUUGGUGAAUGCGUGGAGAAUGUCAGCAUGUCGUCUCUGAAUGGACCAACACACCUCUUUUGGGCAGGAUUUGGAUAAUACACCCCCUUGACCCUUCAUCGUGUCUUUCUGUCCUCCUACUCUCACUCUCACUCCAGCUGCAGAUCAUUAAAAAUAACCCCUCUCCUCUCCAAUAUUCAGUAUUUCCUCUGCUUUCUUAACUCACCACCAGCUCUAUUAUUAAAGCAUUCUUUUCAUUCAGAUGCUUUGAAUAACAUUGUUUAUCUAUUAUUUAUGUAAGUAUGGUGCGUACUGGAUGCUCUGAAAAACCUGGAAGCUUAAGGCCUCAGAGGAGACCAAUGUUGGCUCUCCCCUAAGAGCCGUUCACACCUUUCUUCUUCAUCCGGUCCUCGAGCUUCAAAUCUGUUUGAAUUCCUUUCAUGCAAAGAUUUAUCUACUGGUCAAGAGUGGACCUCAUUGCCAGAGCAGUUUGCAGUACACUACAGUGUGGGAACGGUUACUGUAUAAGAAACCCAUACAUUUUCCCUCUUUUAUUCUUCCUAGUAAUUCUCUCGUUCUCCUAUGUUUUCUCUCCAACCUCUUUUCCCUGCAUCCCCAGAAUCAAGGCCUGUUGGGGCAUUUUUAAGACAGAGGCUUCCUGAACUAUUUUGGUAUCAAAGCUUUGAGGCAGCAAGAGGCAUGCUCUCUGAAGUUGACAUGUAAGGAGAGGAGGGCCUUCCUCUCUCACUGGUUUGUUGGGGGCAGUGGGAGGGGGGGGAGUGGGGGCACUCAGUAGCCCUGCCAGGAGCGAUCCCUACUGGGGAUAUGAGCCUCAACCGCUGCCCUUCAAGCCCAGACCUUCCCCAGCCACUAGGGAAGCGUACGUUUCAUAUGUUUGGUGCCCGGUUGACUAUGUAUGAUGUUGGGGUUGGUGCGGGUCUUGGUACAAGCAUGCAUUUAUGUGUUUGUGUGUUUACAUUAAGGAUGCAGCACAGUUUUGGUAGUGCUCUUUAGUGUUGUAACACAGUGCAAUUGUUUCCCCCUAUUUAAAAGUGCUGACAAAAAUAAAGCAUAAUAAAGAAGCUUCAUACGUGGGCGGCCCCAAAUGGCAGCAAGAUGUGAGAUGUUAUCACUUUUAUUUUCUUGGAUUUCAAAAUCUCAAAACAUGCACUGAUGUUUUUUAAUGUGACUGCGAUGAAAUACACAGUCUACAUUUGUUUUUGUAGAAGACGAUGGUUUGGAUGUAGUGCUAUGAACUCCUAAUCAGUAAACAGUUUUGUUUUUGAGUUUAAUCUAUCACUUCUGUGUGUGAACAAGACAGUAGAAAUUAAUUUGGGCAAAUAGAAUGAAUUACAGUCUCUCAGAUGAUUUCAUGUGAAUUUGGACCCUGUGCAGCUCCAUUUUUAGGACGAUUAGAUGUAUUUUUACAUAAAAAUUUUGCCUGCAGCUUUAAUGUGAAUUUAACCAGCUCCAGCCCUGCGUGGUAGACUGUUGUCCAGAUGACCUCUUCUUUUU